rnacentral:miRNA from 1 species
AGUUGUAUCGUCUGUGAUAU